rnacentral:rRNA from 1 species
GAUGAACGCUGGCGGCGUGCCUAAUACAUGCAAGUCGAGCGAACGGACGAGAAGCUUGCUUCUCUGAUGUUAGCGGCGGACGGGUGAGUAACACGUGGAUAACCUACCUAUAAGACUGGGAUAACUUCGGGAAACCGGAGCUAAUACCGGAUAAUAUUUUGAACCGCAUGGUUCAAAAGUGAAAGACGGUCUUGCUGUCACUUAUAGAUGGAUCCGCGCUGCAUUAGCUAGUUGGUAAGGUAACGGCUUACCAAGGCAACGAUGCAUAGCCGACCUGAGAGGGUGAUCAGCCACACUGGAACUAAGACACGGUCCAGACUCCUACGGGAGGCAGCAGUAGGGAAUCUUCCGCAAUGGGCGAAAGCCUGACGGAGCAACGCCGCGUGAGUGAUGAAGGUCUUCGGAUCGUAAAACUCUGUUAUUAGGGAAGAACAUAUGUGUAAGUAACUGUGCACAUCUUGACGGUACCUAAUCAGAAAGCCACGGCUAACUACGUG